rfam:Camelus ferus unplaced genomic scaffold scaffold247, whole genome shotgun sequence.
GAGGAUAUAGCUCAAGUAGUAAAGUACAUGCUUAGCAUGCGUGAGGUCCUGGGUUCAAUCCCCAGUACCUCCU